GACAGAGGUGCCGAGCGUUAGGCGGAAUCACUGGGCUUAAAGCGUGUGUAGGCGGACCGUUAAGUGUCUUGUGAAAUCCCACGGCUCAACCGUUGAACGGCUGGGCAUACUGGCGGUCCUGAGAGGCCUAGGGGCGAGCGGAACAGGCGGUGGAGCGGUGAAAUGCGUAGAUAUCGCCUGGAACGCCGACGGUGAAAACAGCUCGCUGGGGGCCUUCUGACGCUGAGACACGAAAGCCAGGGGAGCGAACGGG
rnacentral:rRNA from 1 species